rnacentral:tRNA from 1 species
AUUGAUUUGGCAGAUUAGUGCUUUAAAUUUAGAAUUUAAUAAUGUAUAAUUAUACAAUCAAUU